AACGCUAGCUACAGGCUUAACACAUGCAAGUCGAGGGGCAGCAUGAACAAAGCUUGCUUUGUUCGAUGGCGACCGGCGCACGGGUGAGUAACGCGUAUCCGACCUGCCCAUGACUCGGGCACAGCCGCUCGAAAGAGCGAUUGAUUCCCGAUAUGUCUAUGAAGUAGAUUCAUGGAUGAAAGAUUCAUCGGUCAUGGAUGGGGAUGCGUAGGAUUAGGUAGUAGGCGGGGUAACGGCCCACCUAGCCGACGAUCCUUAGGGGUUCUGAGAGGAAGGUCCCCCACACUGGUACUGAGACACGGACCAGACUCCUACGGGAGGCAGCAGUGAGGAAUAUUGGUCAAUGGGCGGAAGCCUGAACCAGCCAAGUAGCGUGAAGGAUUACUGCCCUACGGGUUUUAAACUUCUUUUAUGCGAGAGUAAUGUGCGCCACGUGUGGUGUAUUGCAAGUAUCGCAUGAAUAAGCAUCGGCUAACUCCGUGCCAGCAGCCGCGGUAAUACGGAGGAUGCGAGCGUUAUCCGGAUUUAUUGGGUUUAAAGGGAGCGUAGGCGGGAUAUUAAGUCAGUCGUCAAAGCCUGUGGCUCAACCACAGCCCGCGAUUGAUACUGGUAACCUUGAGUGCGGAUGAGGUGGAUGGAAUUCGUGGUGUAGCGGUGAAAUGCUUAGAUAUCACGAAGAACUCCGAUUGCGAAGGCAGUCCACUGGGCCGCAACUGACGCUGAAGCUCGAAAGUGCGGGUAUCAAACAGGAUUAGAUACCCUGGUAGUCCGCACCGUAAACGAUGGACACUCGCUGCCGGCGAUAUACAGUCGGUGGCCUCGCGAAAGCCUUAAGUGUCCCACCUGGGGAGUACGCCGGCAACGGUGAAACUCAAAGGAAUUGACGGGGGCCCGCACAAGCGGAGGAACAUGUGGUUUAAUUCGAUGAUACGCGAGGAACCUUACCCGGGCUUGAACUAUGGUGGACCGUUCCAGAGAUGGAUCUUCCCUUCGGGGCCGCCAUGGAGGUGCUGCAUGGUUGUCGUCAGCUCGUGCCGUGAGGUGUCGGCUUAAGUGC
rnacentral:rRNA from 1 species